GGCCAGACUCCUACGGGAGGCAGCAGUGGGGAAUAUUGCACAAUGGGGGAAACCCUGAUGCAGCGACGCCGCGUGAGUGAAGAAGUAUUUCGGUAUGUAAAGCUCUAUCAGCAGGAACGAGACAAGACGGUACCUGACUAAGAAGCCCCGGCUAACUACGUGCCAGCAGCCGCGGUAAUACGUAGGGGGCAAGCGUUAUCCGGAAUCACUGGGUGUAAAGGGAGCGUAGACGGCUGAGCAAGCCUGAAGUGAAAGGCGGGGGCCCAACCCCCGGACUGCUUUGGGAACUGUUUUGCUGGAGUAUGGGAGGGGUAAGCGGAAUUCCUGGUGUAGCGGUGAAAUGCGUAGAUAUCAGGAGGAACACCGGUGGCGAAGGCGGCUUACUGGACCAUAACUGACGUUGAGGCUCGAAAGCGUGGGGAGCGAACAGGAUUAGAUACCCCAGUA
rnacentral:rRNA from 1 species